GUGCUGGGGCUGCCACCCUGCUGUGAUAUUUUAAGUUUCAGGCUGGGCGGAGCCAGGAAAUGAAGAAGUCCAUGCAAAACCAAAGUGUAACACGUGCAGGUCCUGGGUGGCUCCAGGGGCUUUGCUGCACCAAGAAGACAUUGGCCUCCAUUCCAGUGGUGAAGGAGGGAAGGAUGGAUGGAAGAAAGGUGAAAUCCAGAAAGUAGAGAGGAAGACAAAAAAUACCUACAACACCGUCAUCCAGAGAGAUAACCACUGUUAACAUUCUGGUUACAAGAAGCUUUCACAGGAAUGUCGCUGAAUUCUGCUUAAUGUCUUUCAAAAUACCUAUCAGGACAGUUAUCAACAAUUAUGUGUCUAUUUUGACUUACUGAUGUGACAGAUUAAUGUUUUUCUUAAUGUUGAAUUCUCCUUUCACAAUGGAAUGAACUCCACUUACUCACAAUAUAUUAAAUAUCAUA